rnacentral:ncRNA from 28 species
CUUUAUAUGUGAUUUACAGGUCACGGGAAGGGGGUGCGAGUCCCCCACGGUGCCGCCACUGUAAUCGGGGAGUAAGGCUGGAUUAAUGCCACUGGGAUAUGAAUCCUAUCCCGGGAAGGCCCGGCCAAACAAUGAUCCGUAAGUCAGGAAACCUGCCUGUCAGUCAUUCUUACCA